rnacentral:rRNA from 1 species
UGUACACGCUGUGACUAGCAUAUCAAUAAGCGGAGGAAAAGAAACUAACAAGGAUUCCCUCAGUAACGGCGAGUGAAGCGGGAAGAGCUCAAAUUUGAAAUCUUGAAAGGGUCACCUUUCACGAAUUGUAGUUUAAAGAAGUGUUUUCUGUUGACGUAUGCGUAAUAUAAGUUCUUUGGAAUAGGACAUCACUAGAGGGUGAGAAUCCCGUAUUUGACCAUUUACUUUCAGCUGUGUGAUACACUUUCAAAGAGUCGGAUUGUUUGGGAAUGCAGUCCAAAAUGGGUGGUAAAUUUCAUCUAAAGCUAAAUAUUGGCGAGAGACCGAUAGCGAACAAGUACCGUGAGGGAAAGAUGAAAAGAACUUUGAAAAGAGAGUUAAACAGUACGUGAAAUUGUCAAAAGGGAAGCGUUUGACACCAGUGUUGUUUUCUCGAAAAUCAAUUAAAAAUGGCUCGAUUUUGUAUUGCUUGAGACCCUUAAAAGCUCACUGUACAUUUUUCGUGUCUUUUUUAAUGCACUUUUCGUUUAACAAGUCAACAUCAGUUUCUUUUGUUGUAAAAGGGUCAUUGGAAGGUGGCUUUCUUUUCGGAGAAAGUGUUUAUAGCCUCUUGCCUAUGCAGUCGGAGAGAUUGAGGUCUGCAGCGUAGAUCCUUCGGGGCUAAAUGCAUUUGUGCUAAGUUAUAGCAUUUUAUAGACAACUUGUUGACUAUGAUUUGUCUUGUAGCUUACUCGCUUAUGUUAUUUUACCUACGCUUAGGAUGUUGACGCAUGAGAUAUACGC